CCUACGGGAGGCAGCAGUGGGGAAUAUUGGGCAAUGGGCGAAAGCCUGACCCAGCGACGCCGCGUGAGGGACGAAGGCCUUCGGGUUGUAAACCUCUUUCAGCAGGGAAGAAGCGAAAGUGACGGUACCUGCAGAAGAAGCACCGGCUAACUACGUGCCAGCAGCCGCGGUAAUACGUAGGGUGCAAGCGUUGUCCGGAAUUAUUGGGCGUAAAGAGCUCGUAGGUGGUUUGCCACGUCGGAUGUGAAAACCUGAGGCUUAACCUCAGGCCUGCAUUCGAUACGGGCAGACUAGAGUGUGGUAGGGGAGACUGGAAUUCCUGGUGUAGCGGUGAAAUGCGCAGAUAUCAGGAGGAACACCGGUGGCGAAGGCGGGUCUCUGGGCCAUAACUGACACUGAGGAGCGAAAGCGUGGGGAGCAAACAGGAUUAGAUACCCUGGUAGUCCACGCCGUAAACGGUGGGCACUAGAUGUGGGGACCUUCCACGGUCUCUGCGUCGCAGCUAACGCAUUAAGUGCCCCGCCUGGGGAGUACGGCCGCAAGGCUAAAACUUAAUGAAUUGACGG
rnacentral:rRNA from 1 species